rnacentral:misc_RNA from 1 species
CUGAUAUCCUUAUCAAGUUGCAAGCAUCGAAAAGCUAGCUCCGCGACAGAGAUAGUCAUUUUCUUAGCAAGCGUAUCUGAGUUUAGCCCGAGUGAUGGAUCGAUCAGUUCAUCAAAUGCACAUCUUUGUAUCCUGUUUAUCGCCAAGUUAGCCAAAUUGACCUCGUUCUUUUGCCUGUUCAAGUCAACAGCCGAGUGUUCCUUGAGGAGCUGUUGAUAUGUGAGUAACGUUGUUGGGG